rnacentral:rRNA from 1 species
UUCGCAAUGCCCGAAAGGGUGACGAUGCGACGCCGCGUGAGCGAAGGAGGCCCUAGGGUUGUAAAGCUCUGUCGAGGGUUAUGAAAUAUAGAUGGGUUAAUACCCCAUUUAUUUGACAAAAGCCCAAAAGGAAGCCACGGCUAACUCUGUGCCAGCAGCCGCGGUAAUACAGAGGUGGCGAGCGUUGUUCGGUAUUAUUGGGCGUAAAGAGCACGUAGGUGGUUUUGUAAGUCAGGUGUGAAAGCCUUCUGUUCAAAGGAAGAACGGCAUCUGAAACUGCAGAUCUUGAGUGUAGGAGGGGAGAGUGGAACUUCUGGUGGAGCGGUGAAAUGCGUAGAUAUCAGAAGGAACGUCGGCGGCGAAAGCGACUCUCUGGCCUAUUACUGACACUGAGGUGCGAAAGUUAGGGGAGCAAACGGGAUUAGAUACCCCGGUAGUCCUAACCGUAAACGAUGGGCACUAAGUAGAGGGGUUUU